GAGAGAGGACGGCGCGGGCCCCUAGCACCCCCGGACUCCCGGCGGAAAGCCUCGCGAAACGCAGCAUCCGGAUGCAGACAGCCAUGGCUCACUAUGCCGGUGUCCCAGACGGAGGAAACUUUUAAAGGUUGAGAGCCAGAGACCAAGGGAGCCGGCGCAAAGUGCCUGUCCCCAAGGCAAGCCAGCUGGGGUAUAGGGCCCGCCGGGACUGGAGAGGACGCCGGGACAAAGAGUGCUGGGGGUGAGCGAGUCCCCGCCGAGGCCAGAUGUCAGCUUCAGAAGGGAGGACAGUUAGUACCCUCAUCUCCCACGAGGCAGCCACCCAUCCCUCCCCCAGGGCCGUUGCCGUCACUCGCCCGCCUGUACAGUAAGGUGCCCUCAAGGAUUGCAAUUGGUGUCUCCCAGUCCCUCAUCUGUUUGCCCCAGCACAGUUCCUGUGAGCUGUCCCAGGUGUAAAUGGAAAACAAUCUCACUCUCUUUCCAGCCCCUCUUUAUGGUACCUUGAGGCCCGGGUGUGGCUGGCUACAGGACAGAGAGAAAGUGACAGCUCAUCUCUGGUCCUGUCUGGGAAAGGUGGCACUGGGCACCAGAGUGGCACAUGUGCCAGGUCCACACUGUCUUGAGCCUUGACCCUUCCUCCAGAGAAGGAGGAGAGCAAUGGGGGAAAGUUCCUGGCAGGGUGACCUCCCUUCUCAUGACCCAGAGGCAGUGAUGAAAGCUGGGCCAGACAGGAGGAGCAGCUAAGAGUGGAGCCUGGCCUGAGAGGACUUUUGCCCUUAUCUGGGAACUUUGGCUCUAUUGAGGUCAUGAGGAGACUAUGCAGCUCUUCUUCAUGAUCUUGAGAGUGACCUCAGAUCCCCCUGAAACCCUGGCUCCUGGGGAGGGUCUCCACACUUCAAAUUGUGUAGGGAUGGGGCAGGAAGGAAGACAGAGGAGCAGAUAGAUUAUGAGGAGCUAGGCUUGCAAGGGCACACCUUCUUGAUGAGACUAACUCACUGACUGAUAGCCCAGCCCAUGCAUGUGGAGCACUGGCAAGUAACGCACUUCUAGGCUGUCAGCCUGACAGCCUGCCAGGUAGGCUCUGCCUCUAGCUUGUGGGGUGACCCUGGGUAAGUCGUUGCCCAUCUCUGGGCCUGUGAAGUGAAAGAUGAAUACAGAUCUGGGAGUCCCUUCCACUUUCCUUGCUAGUUUGAGGGUCAGUCCUGGGGGAAGAGAGUGAUGAAUUCCUCCUUGACUUUGCUCUAGCUUUGGCUUUCCACAUACUGGAUUUUCAUGCCUUCCCAGACACCUGUGCCAUGGAAUCACAACUGCCAGUUUUAUGAUACCUUCCUCAAGCCUGAUUUUUCAAGGAUGUUAUCUCUGGCCCCCUGCAAGGAAAAUUACCCUGCAAGGAAAAGGCAUGCCUUGGUAUGUGUCUCUUUUUUUAAUGGAUGAAGAAACUGACAUCCAGAGAGGUUCAGCUGCUUGCCCAAGGUCAAUGUGGACACGGGGCUUUGGGGAUGCAGAGGAUACCCCAACAAGAUUGCCAGUCCCAACCAAAGAAGCCAACAUGGUCUUCCAGGUAGGUCCCGAGACCCUGUCCUCUCAUCUGAGAUCAGAUAGGGCAAGAGUUCCGUGAAUCCCCCAAUAGGUAGGGACAG